rnacentral:rRNA from 1 species
GCGCAGCAGUCGAGAAUCCUCCGCAAUGCGCGCAAGCGCGACGGGGCCAUCCCGAGUGCCGCUCGCUGAGGGCGGCUUUUCUCCGGUGUAAGUAGCCGGAGGAAUAAGGAGAGGGCAAGUCUGGUGUCAGCCGCCGCGGUAAUACCAGCUCUCCGAGUGGUGGGGACGAUUAUUGGGCCUAAAGCGUCCGUAGCCGGCUUGACAAGUCUCCCGUU